rnacentral:rRNA from 1 species
CGGGUGCGUAACGCGUAUGCAACCUACCUCUAACAGGGGAAUAGCUCCGAGAAAUCGGGAUUAAUACCUCAUAGCAAAUAUUAACGGCAUCGUUGAUAUUUUAAAGUUACGGCGGUUAGAGAUGGGCAUGCGUGCCAUUAGCUAGUUGGUGAGGUAACGGCUCACCAAGGCAACGAUGGCUAGGGGUUCUGAGAGGAUUAUCCCCCACACUGGUACUGAGACACGGACCAGACUCCUACGGGAGGCAGCAGUAAGGAAUAUUGGUCAAUGGACGCAAGUCUGAACCAGCCAUGCCGCGUGCAGGAAGACGGCCUUAUGGGUUGUAAACUGCUUUUGUCAGGGAAUAAACCCCUCGAUGCGUCGAGGGCUGAAGGUACCUGAAGAAUAAGCACCGGCUAACUCCGUGCCAGCAGCCGCGGUAAUACGGAGGGUGCAAGCGUUAUCCGGAUUCAUUGGGUUUAAAGGGUGCGCAGGCGGGUUUGUCAGUCAGUGGUGAAAUCCUACGGCUUAACCGUGGAACUGCCAUUGAUACUGCAAGUCUUGAGUAUAGUUGAAGUGGGCGGAAUGUAGCAUGUAGCGGUGAAAUGCAUAGAUAUGCUACAGAACACCAAUUGCGAAGGCAGCUCACUAAGUUAUAACUGACGCUCAUGCACGAAGCGUGGGGAUCAAACAGGAUUAGAUACCCUGGUAGUCCACGCUGUAAACGAUGAUCACUCGUUGUUGGCGAUACACAGUCAGCGACCAAGCGAAAGUGAUAAGUGAUCCACCUGGGGAGUACGAUCGCAAGGUUGAAACUCAAAGGAAUUGACGGGGGCC